AACGAACGCUGGCGGCAUGCCUAACACAUGCAAGUCGAACGAGACCUUCGGGUCUAGUGGCGCACGGGUGCGUAAGGCGUGGGAACCUGCCCUUAGGUUCGGAAUAACUCCCCGAAAGGGGUGCUAAUACCGGAUAAUGUCUUCGGACCAAAGAUUUAUCGCCUUUGGAUGGGCCCGCGUUGGAUUAGCUAGUUGGUAGGGUAAAAGCCUACCAAGGCGACGAUCCAUAGCUGGUCUGAGAGGGUGAUCAGCCACACUGGGACUGAGACACGGCCCAGACCCCUACGGGAGGCAGCAGUGGGGAAUAUUGGACAAUGGGCGAGAGCCUGAUCCAGCAGUGCCGCGUGGGUGAUGAAGGCCUUAGGGUUGUAAAGCUCUUUUACCCGAGAUGAUAAUGACAGUACCGGGAGAAUAAGCUCCGGCUAACUCCGUG
rnacentral:rRNA from 1 species